CUUGGCCUACGGGAGGCAGCAGUGAGGAAUAUUGGUCAAUGGGCGGAAGCCUGAACCAGCCAAGUCGCGUGAGGGAAUAAGGCCCUACGGGUCGUAAACCUCUUUUGCCGGGGAGCAAGGGCGGGGACGUGUCCCGGCCCGGAGAGUACCCGGAGAAAAAGCAUCGGCUAACUCCGUGCCAGCAGCCGCGGUAAUACGGAGGAUGCGAGCGUUAUCCGGAUUUAUUGGGGUUAAAGGGGGCGUAGGCGGGCUUUAAGGCAGCGGUAAAAAUGC
rnacentral:rRNA from 1 species